rnacentral:misc_RNA from 1 species
UGCCCAGUGAGUUGAUUAUCA